GCGCCUCAGACCUCACCCCCAGGGUCCUGGGGCAGCACAGGGUCCUCCCUGGCCCAGGCGCCCGGUGGCCGAGAGCCUGCCCGCGAGCUCAGCGCUGCUCAACGGUCUCUGUCCUUGGCUGUGGCUCCUGCGCUCUGGCUGAGCCAUGUUCCUUCUCCUCGCCCUCCUCACUGAGCUUGGAAGGCUGCAAGCCCACGAAGGUUCUGAAGGAAUAUUUCUGCAUGUCACAGUUCCACAGAAGAUUAAGUCAAAUGACAGUGAAGUUUCAGAGAGGAAGAUGAUUUACAUCAUUACAAUUGAUGGACAACCUUACACUCUACAUCUCAGAAAACAAUCAUUCUUACCCCAGAACUUUCUGGUUUAUACAUAUAAUGAAACUGGAUCUUUGCAUUCUGAGUCUCCAUAUUUUAUGAUGCAUUGCCAUUACCAAGGAUAUGCUGCCGAAUUUCC
rnacentral:lncRNA from 1 species